UUUGGAACGGGUCUCUGAGGGUUUUGUAUAUUUUAAAUUGUUUUUUAGGGUUAGGUCCGAUGCCACGUCGCUGGUAGCUUCAAUUCAGCGAUGACCAGUGAUGCUAUGAUUGGACCAAAAUCAAAAGUGAGUUUCGUUUGUUUCGCAUCCUGAUAGGAAUCUGUAGAUCUCAUACUUUACGAUCUGCGGAGCCGUUUUGUGCGAUUACAUUCUUGUUAUUUGAACUUUUUUGUGUCGUUUGCUUUUGUUUUAUGUUGUCAUUCAUGUGGCGAAGCCGGUGAUGAUUUAUUUUAUUUGGAAUUACCGUCUGAUAUUUGAUGAGAAUUUCUGGCUGACUGAGGCUUCGCAGAUGCAUGGCUGUAAAUGUGUUCAAAUUUUUCUGUCUAUUUUGUCUUCCGCCUGCCUUUAAUCUAGAAGUCACUUCUUUUUGUUCACGUUACUUGCCAUGCCUAUUUGUCCUAAUUUGCUUUGUUAAAUAUAAUAUUGUUGAACCACAUUCCAGUUUCCCUCUUCCUAUUUAGACACAGGAAUCUGAAUGGCCUUUAGACCCAUUCUAUUGCAUAUGAAGCUUUGUUAAUUUUCAUGCCAACCUGAUGGAAUGUGGUUGUGUGACUUUAAAAUUGAUAAUUUUAAGUGUAUGAUAUCCUUUCUUGAAGGUUUCUAACAAGUUUGAUUUUGUUUGUCAUUGACGGAGCAUGUAUUAUUAUCCUACGAAUUAAAGAAAAAAAUAGAACAAAACCUAUAUAAAAUACGGAUCUAAAUGCAUCCACUAAAGCCUUUAAUCAUCUGGGCUUAAGAUUAUUUUUGGCCCCAUAAGAAAAGUUCUGUGUAUAAUGAUAAUUAGGCAAUUGCUUCCUGCAAUUUAGCUAAUUUGAGAUAAAAUCGCAACUGAGGUGAAAGGGAGACCAAACGUGCAACUCCAGAACAGUGCAGGUGAAAAAGAAGGAAGAUAAAAAAUUAGGGUUAAAUUAAAACGCUAGUUUUAAUAUUUCACACAUUUGACGAGUACAUGAAGUAAUAGCCUUUUUUUUAUAUUUUACAGUGUGAUAUAAUAAAAGAAAUAUUGUACAAGGAAUUUGUAGUAUUCCAACCAUUAAUAAAUCAAGAUUCUAUACUUUUCUUAAAUGUGAAAGAGAUAUACCCGGGGCAAAAAAAAUGUAAGAUAUAGAAGGGGAAUGUUGUUUUUUUUUUUUCAUUUUUUGUCUUUAUGCAUUAGAAAAGGGUGUUCGAAUUAUUAACAUAGUUCCCUUAUUGAACUUUUUUUUUAAGAGGGGAAAAAGAAAAAUUCUUUUUUUAGAUAAAAAUUUAAAAUUUGUUCAAGUAAAUCGGUUUUUCUGUCAUGAAUGAUAAAUCACUAGGAAAAUCCAAUAUUUUAAAAUUGUAUCUAAAAUGAUUGGAAAAGUGAAGACAAAACCGGAUAUAAUUUGAUCAUUUUGAGCAAAUAUACAGAGAAAACAAAAUGUUUGACAAAGAUUUAUAUUAAAUUUGAAAUCAUUAAAUAUUUGUUAUUAAUUUAUGAGUUAAAUAUAAUUUUAUUUUCAUUUUAUUUUUAAAUACAUUGGUUUUAAUCUCCUUUUUAUAGAUGCCAACUUUUAUCUUACUUGGCAAACAAUGUUUUGUUUCACGGCAAAAAAUAAAUUAUAGAUGUAACAUAGAAAGAGAA
rnacentral:lncRNA from 1 species